rnacentral:rRNA from 1 species
GUAACGGCGAGUGAACAGGGAUCAGCCCAGCACCGAAGCCCGCAGGUUUUCCUGUUGGGAUAUGUGGUGUUUAGGUCGGACUUUGGAUUGUGAGGUGUUGUCUGAAGUUCACUUGAAUGUGACUUCAGGUCCAAAGAGGGUGUAAGACCCGUACGGACACACUUUGCUUUCCCCGGUUCGUCCUUGGAGUCGGGUUGUUUGAGAUUGCAGCCCAAAGCAGGUGGUAAACUCCAUCUAAGGCUAAAUACUGAACGCUAGUCCGAUAGUCGACAAGUACCGUGAGGGAAAGUUGAAAAGAACUUUGAAGAGAGAGUUCAAUAGUGCGUGAAACUGUCCAGAGGUAAACGGAUGGGGCCGAAAAGGAUUGCGGGGAUUCAGCCAGUUUGCAUUGUGGUGCUGCGCCUGCCAAAGACCUAAGUCUUGGCGGUGUGGUGUCUGCGGUGUGAGCUGGUGCACUUUCCCGUAGUCCGCACCAGUUCCGCUGAGCUGGCAGCCUGACGUUGGGUGGUGGUAGCGACUGCUUCGGCGGUUGUGACAUACACCUAGCUUGGGAUUGCUGGAGCAGUGGUAAUCUGCGAUGCAAGUGCUUAAGACACCAGGUAAGCAGCGCUGGGUCUGUGCAGUGUUGGGUCGACUACCUAGUAGACGGCUCGAUGCGGCAUUGGCUUCGGCGUUGUUAGGCCUUCUGCAUCGAUAGAAUCUGGUGUUAAAGUAGGUAGCCUAUCUGACCCGUCUUGAAACACGGACCAAGGAGUCUUGCAUAUGCGCGAGUCAUUGGGCGUUACGAAACCCAAAGGCGUAGUGAAAGCAAAGGCGUACCUUUGUACACUGAGGUAUGAUCCCGGUUCCUUAAUUGGGCUGGGCGCAAUACCGGCCCGUCUCUUACUGUCUUACAGUGGGGCGGCGCAAGAGCGCAUAUGCAGAAACCCGAAAGAUGGUGAACUAUGCUUGGGCAGGAUGAAGCCAGAGGAAACUCUGGUGGAAGUCCGUAGCGAUUCUGACGUGCAAAUCGAUCGUCAGACCUGAGUAUAGGGGCGAAAGACUAAUCGAACCAUCUAGUAGCUGGUUCCCUCUGAAGUUUCCCUCAGGAUAGCUGGUGCACAUACAUAUAAACUGGUUCCAUCCGGUAAAGCUAAUGAUUGGAGGUAUUGGGGAUGAAAUGUCCUCAACCUACUCUCAAACUUUAAAUGGGUGGGAGGUCCAUGUCGCUUAAUUGGACAUGGGCUCUUCAACAUGUGUACCUAGUGGGCCAUUUUUGGUAAGCAGAACUGGCGCUGUGGGAUGAACCAAACCAUCAGCUAAGGUGCCAAACGGUACGUUCAUGAGACACCACAAAAGGUGUUGGUUGAUAUAGACAGCAGGACGGUGGCCAUGGAAGUUGGAAUCCGCUAAGGAGUGUGUAACAACUCACCUGCCGAAUCAACCAGCCCUGAAAAUGGAUGGCGCUUGAGCGUGCGACCUAUGCUGGUGCCUGAUAGCAUGCCUUGAUUUGAAAUAAGCUAUCAGGAGUAAGAGGGCCAACGUGGUGAGCGUUGAAGCUUACACCGUGAGGUGUGGUGGAGCCGCCACGUGUGCAGAUCUU